GCUCGGCUCGGGCUCCGGCGGCAGCGCCCCCCGCGCCGGGCCCCGGGGCAGGCGGCGGCGCACCAUGGCCCGCGCCCAGGCGCUGGUCCUGGCGCUCACCUUCCAGCUCUGCGCGCCCGAGACCGAGACUCCGGCAGCCGGCUGCACCUUCGAGGAGGCGAGUGACCCGGCAGUGCCCUGUGAGUACAGCCAGGCCCAGUACGACGACUUCCAGUGGGAGCAAGUGCGGAUUCACCCUGGGACCCGGGCUCCUGCGGACCUGCCCCAUGGCUCCUACUUGAUGGUCAAUGCUUCCCAGCAUGCUCCAGGCCAGCGGGCCCAUGUCAUUUUCCAGAGCCUGAGCGAGAAUGACACCCACUGUGUGCAGUUCAGCUACUUCCUGUACAGCCGGGAUGGGCACAGCCCAGGCACCUUGGGCAUCUAUGUGCGUGUCAAUGGGGGUCCCCUGGGCAGUGCCGUCUGGAACAUGACAGGAUCCCAUGGCCGUCAGUGGCACCAGGCUGAGCUGGCUGUCAGCACCUUCUGGCCCAAUGAAUAUCAGGUGCUGUUUGAGGCCCUCAUCUCCCCAGACCGCAGGGGCUACAUGGGCCUAGACGACAUCCUGCUUCUCAGCUACCCCUGCGCAAAGGCCCCACAUUUCUCCCGCCUGGGCGAUGUGGAGGUCAACGCUGGCCAGAACGCCUCAUUCCAGUGCAUGGCGGCGGGCAGAGCAGCGGAGGCUGAGCGCUUCCUUCUGCAGCGACAGAGCGGGGCCCUGGUGCCCGCUGCCAGCGUGCGGCACAUCAGUCAUCGGCGCUUCCUGGCCACCUUCCCGCUGGUUGCCGUGGGCCGCUCGGAGCAGGACCUGUACCGCUGCGUCUCCCAGGCCCCGCGUGGCGCGGGCGUCUCCAACUUUGCAGAGCUGAUUGUCAAGGAGCCCCCUACUCCCAUUGCACCCCCGCAGCUGCUGCGCGCUGGUCCCACCUACCUCAUCAUCCAGCUCAACACCAACUCCAUCAUUGGUGACGGGCCGAUCGUGCGCAAAGAGAUUGAGUAUCGCAUGGCGCGCGGCCCGUGGGCCGAGGUGCACGCGGUCAACCUGCAGACCUACAAGCUAUGGCACCUUGACCCUGACACGGAGUACGAGAUCAGCGUGCUGCUCACACGUCCAGGCGAUGGCGGCACCGGCCGGCCGGGGCCGCCCCUUGUUAGCCGCACCAAGUGCGCAGAGCCCAUGAGGGCCCCCAAAGGUCUGGCUUUUGCUGAGAUCCAGGCCCGCCAGCUGACCCUGCAGUGGGAACCGCUGGGCUACAAUGUGACACGUUGCCACACCUACACCGUGUCCCUGUGUUAUCACUACACCCUGGGCAGUAGCCACAACCAGACCAUCCGAGAGUGUGUGAAGAUGGAGCGGGGUGUCAGCCGCUACACCAUCAAGAACCUGCUGCCCUACCGGAACGUCCACGUGCGGCUCGUCCUCGCCAAUCCUGAGGGGCGCAAGGAGGGCAAGGAGGUCACCUUCCAGACGGAUGAAGAUGUGCCUGGUGGGAUCGCAGCCGAGUCUCUGACCUUCACUCCCCUGGAGGACAUGAUCUUCCUUAAGUGGGAGGAGCCCCAGGAGCCCAAUGGCCUCAUCACUCAAUAUGAGAUCAGCUACCAGAGCAUUGAGUCGUCAGACCCGGCAGUGAACGUGCCGGGCCCACGACGUACCAUCUCCAAGCUCCGCAACGAGACCUACCACGUCUUCUCCAACCUGCACCCAGGUACCACCUACCUGUUCUCCGUGCGGGCCCGCACUGGCAAAGGCUUCGGCCAAGCGGCACUCACUGAGAUCACUACCAACAUCUCAGCUCCCAGCUUUGAUUAUGCUGACAUGCCGUCGCCCCUGGGCGAGUCUGAGAAUACCAUCACCGUGCUGCUGAGGCCAGCGCAGGGCCGCGGUGCGCCCAUCAGCGUGUACCAGGUGAUUGUGGAGGAGGAGCGGCCGCGGAGACUCCGGCGGGAGCCGGGCGGCCAGGACUGCUUCCCAGUGCCCCUGACCUUCGACGCGGCGCUGGCCCGCGGCCUGGUGCACUACUUCGGGGCAGAACUGGCGGCCAGCAGUCUGUCUGAGGCCAUGCCCUUCACCGUGGGGGACAACCAGACCUAUCGUGGCUUCUGGAACCCACCGCUUGAGCCCAGGAAGGCCUACCUCAUCUACUUCCAGGCAACGAGCCACCUGAAGGGGGAGACCCGGCUGAAUUGCAUCCGAAUCGCCAGGAAAGCUGCCUGCAAGGAAAGUAAACAGCCCCUGGAGGUGUCCCAGAGGUCGGAGGAGAUGGGGCUCAUCCUGGGCAUCUGUGCAGGGGGACUUGCCGUCCUCAUCCUCCUCCUGGGGGCCAUUAUUAUCAUCAUCCGAAAGGGGAGAGACCACUAUGCCUACUCCUACUACCCGAAGCCAGUGAACAUGACCAAGGCCACCGUCAACUACCGCCAGGAGAAGACCCACAUGAUGAGUGCCGUGGACCGGAGCUUCACAGACCAGAGCACCCUGCAGGAGGACGAGCGGCUGGGGCUCUCCUUCAUGGACGCCCAUGGCUACAGCCCCCGGGGAGACCAGCGCAGUGGGGGGGUCACCGAGGCCAGCAGCCUCCUGGGGGGCUCACCGCGGCGUCCGUGCGGCCGGAAGGGCUCCCCAUACCACACAGGGCAGCUGCAUCCUGCGGUGCGUGUGGCCGACCUCCUGCAGCACAUCAACCAGAUGAAGACGGCCGAGGGCUAUGGCUUCAAGCAGGAGUACGAGAGCUUCUUUGAAGGCUGGGAUGCUACAAAGAAGAAAGACAAGGUCAAGGGCGGCCGGCAGGAACCCGUGCCUGCCUAUGAUCGGCACCGAGUGAAACUCCACCCGAUGCUGGGAGACCCCGACGCCGACUACAUCAAUGCCAACUACAUAGACAUUCGGAUAAACCGUGAAGGUUACCACAGGUCAAACCACUUCAUAGCCACUCAAGGGCCAAAGCCCGAGAUGGUCUACGACUUCUGGCGCAUGGUGUGGCAGGAGCACUGUUCCAGCAUUGUCAUGAUCACCAAGCUGGUGGAGGUGAAGUGCUCGCGGUACUGGCCAGAGGACUCGGACAUGUACGGGGACAUCAAGAUCACGCUGGUGAAGACGGAGACUCUAGCCGAGUAUGUUGUGCGCAGCUUUGCCCUGGAGCGGAGAGGCUACUCUGCCCGCCACGAGGUCCGCCAGUUCCACUUCACGGCGUGGCCGGAGCACGGCGUCCCCUACCAUGCCACAGGGCUGCUGGCCUUCAUUCGGCGCGUGAAGGCCUCCACCCCUCCAGAUGCUGGGCCCAUUGUCAUCCACUGCAGCGCGGGCACUGGCCGCACAGGUUGCUACAUUGUCCUGGAUGUGAUGCUGGACAUGGCGGACUGUGAGGGUGUCGUGGACAUUUACAACUGUGUGAAGACCCUCUGCUCCCGGCGCGUCAACAUGAUCCAGACUGAGGAGCAGUACAUCUUCAUCCACGAUGCAAUCCUGGAGGCCUGCCUGUGUGGGGAGACCACCAUCCCUGUCAGUGAAUUCAAGGCUACCUACAAAGAGAUGAUCCGCAUUGACCCUCAGAGUAAUUCUUCCCAGCUGCGGGAGGAGUUCCAGGUGGGGCAUGAGUGUGUGUGUGGGUGAGUGAGUGAGCAUUUGUGCAUGUGUGUGUGUCUGUGUGUUUGUGUGUGGUGUAUUGGGAGGUCCUCGGUGCUGUGGGAGUCACUGCGAGCCAAGCAGGAUGGACAGAGUUGGGCUACCAGGAGGGAUUUUGAGACAGUGGAGGAGGUGGUACAUCUUAGAGAUUAAGAGCCCAGGCUUUGAGGUCAGAUAAACCUGAGUUCAAAGCCUGCCUUUGCCUAGUUAAGAGCUGUGAAUAACCUCGCUAAGCCUCAGUUUUCUUACCCAACAAAGAAGAAGAUAGCUAAUAUUGCCCUUGCAGUGUUUGUCUUCCUUAUGAUUCUUUUGCUUGCAAGUGACAAAGAUCCAGCUCAGUGGCUCUUGUAACUAAAAAGUCUGUGGAUGGUCCAGCUUCAUUUAUGGCUGGAACCAGGGUCUCAAAUGAUGAUGCCAAGAUUUGGUCUCGUCCAUUUUUGGUUUCAUGCUCCUCUGUUUUUGGCUUCUUUCUCAGAUCCACACCCUGGCCCCCGUCAUCUUUGCUGUCAAGAGACUCUAAAAGGGGGUACUUCCUGCUCCCAAUAGCCCCCCCAAAAGUCCCAGGCCAGACUCUCAUGAGCCCAUUUCUGAGCCAGUCACUGGGACCAGAGAGAUGGAGCCCAGUGAUUGGCCCAUGUGUGGUUCUGGGGGCGGGGCAGGUCGCUCUGUCACAUGACUAGGAUGGGAGAAGCCUGGUUCUUAGGAGAAAUUGGAAUGUGGCCACUGGGUGGGGAGAGACCCAGAUGUUCUUUCCACUCCGGGGUUCCUAUGAGGGUUCAGAGGCACAUGCCGGGUGCCUGGUGCUCUAGAACUGGCACAGAGUGAUGACACAGGAGGUGCUGCACUGAUUCUUGGAGGAGGAUGCUGAUCUCUGGGGAUCACGUUAGGGAGCCCCAAGCAAGAGAAAGAAAGAAAGACUCUGUGAAUCAAGGUGCGUGAGGCUCGAAGGUGGGAGGGAGGGGACCCAGUGUCCUUGGCUUGCUGUUGUGCCCGGUGUUCCUUGACAGGGCUGUGACUGCGGAAGGGGACCACCAGUGCCCAGUCCCCAGAGUCCGCUUUGCGGAAGAUGUGGGGUUUGACUUCUUCUUCUCUUUUUUUGUAUUUUGUCUUUUUUUUUAGGGCCGUUCCGGUGGCAUAUGGAGGUUCCCAGGAUAGGGGUCUAAUUGGAGCUGUUGCUGCCGGCCUACGCCAGAGCCACAGCAACACCAGAUCCGAGUCGCAUCUGCAGCCUACACCACAGCUCACGGCAAUGCCAGAUCCUUAACCCACUGAGUGAAGCCAGGGAUCAAACCCGCAACUUCAUGGUUCCUAGUUGGAUUCGUUUCCGCUGCGUCAUGACGGGAACUCCGGGUUUGACUUCUUAAAAGCACUUAGCAAUAAUCCUCACGGUGCCUCUGUGUAUUGAAGGCUGUGCAUGCGUCAGGCUUGAUAUUAUCUCAUUUCUUCCUCCUCGCACCUCCUCGAGGUAGGCAUAUCACUCUCCCAUUUUAUAGUUGAGGAGAAACAGGCUGAGAGAUACAGUAGCUUAUCUAAAGCUACGCAGGUGGUGAGGAGGCCAACUGUAGUCUCCAGAGCUCUGUCCACGCCCUGCACAGCCUGGGUACCUCCCUCUCUCCCUUCUCUCUGGACCUCAGUUUCUUCAUAUGCGGUAUGGGUCCCAUAACCCAGCCCAGUCUACUUCAUGGGGCUGGGAGGAGGCCCUGCAAACACAGGACAUCACCUCCCUGUCCUCUUCCCACUCCUGGUAGACAUUGAACUCGGUCACACCACCGCUGGACGUGGAGGAGUGCAGCAUCGCCUUGCUGCCCCGGAACCGGGACAAGAACCGCAGCAUGGACGUCCUGCCGCCUGACCGCUGCCUGCCCUUCCUCAUCUCCACUGACGGGGACCCCAACAACUACAUCAACGCGGCCCUGACUGAUAGCUACACACGGAGCGCAGCCUUCAUCGUGACCCUGCACCCGCUGCAGAGCACCAUACCCGACUUCUGGCGGCUGGUCUACGACUACGGGUGCACCUCCAUCGUCAUGCUCAACCAGCUGCACCAGUCCAACUCCGCCUGGGUGAGGGCCGUGCUGGGCGGGCAGGCUGGCUGCCUGCUGCCCAGGACCUCAUAUGUUCAAGGGCACACCUCAAAAGCCAGUGUUGGCUCCCAGCUCUGCCACCUCCUUGCUGGGUGACCUUAGACGGGUCCUGCUCCUUCCCAGAGCCUUGGUUUCCCGGCCUAUAAAACGAGGCUCAGACUGGAGAGAACUAGCUGCUCUUGAUGGAGCGCCUGAUACAUGCCAGGGACUCUGCUUUGUACUUGUGGGCUUCAUGUGAGAAAAUUAAGACCCAGACAGGUGAAGUGGCUUCUCCAAGGUCACAUAGCUGGGAAGUGGCAGAGCGAUGCCCCUUACCCUGGGCUGCCUCCUUCCAGAGCCUCUGCUUCUUCAGUCACUCAACGAAACUGCCCAUUAUGGUGUUAUGGGGGCCUAUGAGCCAGAGUAGAAUUCCAGCUUCUGUACUCUCUGUUAAUCUAGGGUAAGUUAAUUUAUCUCUUUGAGCCUCAGUUUCCUUCUCUGUGAAAUGGGGACUGUCACCACACCUGUUCUCUCAUGGGUUAUUGUCAGGACAGUGUGAGAUACAUGUAGGAUGCUUAGCAGGGGCUUAGUACAUGGGAGGGAUGAAGAUGAGGGUGACAGUCGCUUUUGAGAUUGGUCCAGACACUGGCUCCGUGAUCUCAGCUAUCCUCCUUUCCUUCUAGGGCUCCCAAAGCUGGACCUCCUGGGAGGCACAGAUGCCCAACCUUCUAGCCUUACAUGACCAGAUCCUCAGGGCCCCUGAGCCCCUGCCUGUCCUGGCCCCCCAGCCCUCCCAGCCUAGGAGGUCAGGAUGGAUUUGCUAUAAAACGAGCAUGAUAGCCUCUUUUUUUUUUGGUCUUUUUAUUUUCCCUUUCUAGGGCUGCUCCUGCAGCAUAUGGAGGUUCCCAGGCUAGGGAACCACAGCAAUGCGGGAUCUGAGCUGCGUCUGCGACCCACAUCACGGCUCGCGGCAACACUGGGUCCUUAACCCACUGAGCAAGACCAGGGAUUGAACCCAUAACCUCAUGGUUCCUAGUCGGAUUCGUUAGCUACUGAGCCAAGAUGGGAACUCCGAGCAUGAUAGCCUCUUAAUGGCCACCUGGAGAAGAUUGUUAACUAUUUUUUUCAGGUCAGGCACUUGGUAUAAAUGACAAGGACUAUAAGGUAAUGGGCUCCAGCGCCUGGGCAGGGAUCUAGAGGAAUCCCAUGCAGCGAGAGCCCACCUUUGCUAAGAUGGAAGGAAAGGACCCAGAGGGAGGCCCACACGGACAUCAUUCACUGGUCACCCAUUUGCUCAUUCAUUCAACCACCAUUCCCCACGGGCCACUCCUUGUCAGGCCCUGCAGCUUGCUGGGGAGACAGAAGGAGAACACACAGCCCCUCCCAGAUCUCACGGUCCAGGGGGAAGCAGGUACCUGACACCAGAGCAAGAGGGCUGUCAUGGAUGGAGCUGGCACAGGGACAAAGAGGAGCUUGGGGGAUGAUGCAUCAAGGAGGGCUUCCUGGAGGAGGCACAUGGUGUUCUGUCUUUGUGGUCCGAGAGGGAGGCAGGUGGAGCAUGGUGUGGUCUGGGAGAAGCUUAAGGACCAUUUCACAGAUGGAGAAACUGGGGCCCAGAGAAAAGACGAGCCUUAUUAGAGGGCUACUAGAAGCCGGGGCCUCGGACCAAUUGCCCUGGGGCCCCAUGUAUGUAUGUGCGUGGGGACUAUGCCUCCUCUGUCCCUCCACUGUCUUAAGUCUGUGCCCUGGAGGGGGUACAUUUAGGACCCUGAUUCCACGGAGGGGUUCCUAGGGCGGCACAGGUCGCAGCACAGGACACCCCACGUCUGUGAUGCUGGAGGGCAGAGGCAGCAAGAGAGAAGACUGUGGGGCAAAGUGGGGGGCCAGGGUGAUCUGAGGCCUAUUCUCUCCUAUAGAUGUGUGCACCUCUGAGUGUGUUAGAAGUAGCUCUCUAGUGGCACAGCAGUGUCAUGGUACCCACUACAAAGAGUUUGUCUUGGCUGACCUGAGUGUGUCUGUAUAAAGACGUGGAGUGGGUGUGCACUGUGGUCUGAGGGGGGAGGGGUGGAGUCGGGGAGACUGGAGGUAAGUCCAGAGUGAGUGAGGGAGUGAGUGAGGGGCCAGGGUCUGAGGGAGCCCAGGGCAAGUGUGGAGGUCUUGGGGGUGGGUGUGGGUGUGAAUGGCAGCUCCCCUCCCCUUUCUUUCUGUUUUUUUUUUUUUUUUUUUUUUUUUUAAGGGCCAUACCUGCAGCAUACAGAAGGUCCCAGUCUAGGGGUGGAAUCAGAGCUACAGCUGCCAGCCUACACCACAGCCACAGCAACGCCAGAUCUGAGCCACGUCUGUAACCUACAUCACAGCUCAUGGCAAUGCCGGAGCCUUAACCCACUGAGUGAGGCCUGGGAUUGAACCCCACAUCCUCCUGGAUACUAGUUGGGCUCAUUACCGCUGAGCCACAACGGGAACUCUCCCCUCCCCUUUCCACCACACUCCCAGCCCUGCCUGCAGUACUGGCCAGAGCCGGGCCGGCAGCAGUAUGGCCUCAUGGAGGUGGAGUUCGUGUCGGGCACAGCAGAUGAGGACUUGGUGGCCCGCGUUUUCCGGGUACAGAACAUCUCUCGGGUGAGUGGUUGAGAACCUGGGUGGUGACUGGGUGGCCUUGAAUGAUCCUCUGGAAGUCCCCAGGGGGCCACAUAACCCUGGUCAUCUUGUCCUCUGGCUGACUGCUCUCGCCCCCAGCUGCAGGAGGGCCACCUGCUGGUGCGACACUUCCAGUUUCUGCGUUGGUCUGCGUACCGGGACACGCCUGACUCCAAGAAGGCCUUCCUGCACCUGCUGGCCGCGGUGGACAAGUGGCAGGCAGAGAGCGGGGACGGCCGCACCAUCGUGCACUGCCUAAAUGGGGGCGGCCGCAGCGGCACCUUCUGCGCCUGCGCCACGGUCCUGGAGAUGAUCCGCUGCCACAACCUGGUGGAUGUUUUCUUUGCUGCCAAAACGCUUAGGAACUACAAGCCCAAUAUGGUGGAGACCCUGGAUCAGUACCACUUUUGCUAUGAUGUGGCCCUGGAGUACCUGGAGGGGCUGGAGUCAAGAUAGCAGGGGGGCCCCUGGCCUGGGGCACCCACUGCGCACUCAGGGCCAGGCCCACCAUCCCGGACCGAUGAGGAAGACCUGCGCCCCCGACUCUGCUCAGCCUCAGCCCCCCACGGGGAAAGCACCGGAGUGGGCGCUGGGCCAUCUUGGUGUCCCCUUCCUCUGUGGGCAGGGCCUUUCGCCAUGUCCGUGGACAGGCUGCGGGCCAAGGAGGAGCUUAGCAAAACAGCAGCCCAGCCCGCCUCCACAGGAUCCUGCAGGCCUGUGCUCAGAGGCCUGGUACUGCCUGGCAGAGCGAUGGGCUCAGUACUGCCAGCUCUGGGGGACCUGGGCCCAGCCCCUGGACUGCAUCCAGCCCUUGGCAGAGAUGAGCGAGGGCCCGUAGAGCAUGUGCCAGGCCAGAGUUCCUACCCAGCUUGGCUCAACGUGGGUAGAGAGCGUGUUGGGGCCUGGCACCUAGCGUCCCAUCCAGCCCAGCCCCCGAGGGUCCUGGGGAGACUGGGUUCUGCCCUGAUUUGCCAGUGGGCACAUCAGACUGGUCCUCUGAGGGGCAGCUUCAGCUCCCUCCCCCCUCCGCUGCCUUCCUGCAGCCCCGGGGAUGUUUUGCUCAUAAUCCCCCCAUUUCUGCUUCCCUGAAUGUGCUCUGAGCAUCCCUGAACCAGGAUCUGCCCAUCCCUACCCUGUCCUGUGUGGUGUCCCUUCCCUGCUUGACCCAAUGUCUGCAGAAUGAAGUCACCUUAGCCCCCUCUGCUGGAACUCUCAGGCCUCGCUGGCUGGGUCCUGCUCAGCCUGGGCUAGUGACAAUCUGCAAGGCUGAGUGACAGCCCCUGGGGUUGAGGUCCCUGUGGCUCCUGGUCAGGCUACCCACUGGGAAGGGAGCACUGUUAAAUCAGGGGUGCUCACCACCCCUAGAGUUUGGAGGAAGAAGGUAUAUUUUGGGAUGGAGGAUCAAUGCUUUUUUUUGUUUAUUUUGUUAUUUUUUGAUAGGUGGGUGGGACAGUCUCUUUAAAAUGGGGCAGGCCACACCCCCAUUCCGUGCCUCAGUUUCCCCAUCUGUAAACUGUAGAUAUGACUACUGACCUACCUCGCAGGGGGCUGUGGGGAGGCAUAAGCUGAUGUUUGUAAAGCGCUUUGUAAAUAAACGUGCUCUCUGAAUG